UACGUAGGGGGCAAGCGUUGUCCGGAAUCAUUGGGCGUAAAGCGCGCGUAGGCGGCUCGUGAAGUCUGCUGUGAAAGUUCAGGGCUCAACCCUGAAAUGCCGGUGGAAACUGUCGAGCUAGAGUCCGGAAGAGGUGAGUGGAAUUCCUGGUGUAGCGGUGAAAUGCGCAGAUAUCAGGAGGAACACCAAUGGCGAAGGCAGCUCACUGGGACGGUACUGACGCUGAGACGCGAAAGCGUGGGGAGCAAACAGG
rnacentral:rRNA from 1 species